rnacentral:rRNA from 1 species
AGGACGAACGCUGGCGGCGUGCUUAACACAUGCAAGUCGAGCGGUGAACCGGAGCUUGCUCCGGGGAUCAGCGGCGAACGGGUGAGUAACACGUGGGCAACCUGCCCUCAGCUCUGGGAUAAACUCCGGGAAACCGGGGCUAAUACCGGAUACGACUUCCUGCGGCAUCUUGGGAAGUGGAAAGUUUUUCGGCUGAGGAUGGGCCCGCGGCCUAUCAGCUUGUUGGUGGGGUAACGGCCCACCAAGGCGACGACGGGUA